rnacentral:rRNA from 1 species
GAUGAACGCUGGCGGCGUGCCUAAUACAUGCAAGUCGAGCGAACAGACGAGGAGCUUGCUCCUCUGACGUUAGCGGCGGACGGGUGAGUAACACGUGGAUAACCUACCUAUAAGACUGGGAUAACUUCGGGAAACCGGAGCUAAUACCGGAUAAUAUAUUGAACCGCAUGGUUCAAUAGUGAAAGACGGUUUUGCUGUCACUUAUAGAUGGAUCCGCGCCGCAUUAGCUAGUUGGUAAGGUAACGGCUUACCAAGGCAACGAUGCGUAGCCGACCUGAGAGGGGGAUCGGCCACACUGAAACUGAGACACGGCCCAGACUCCUACAGGAGGCAGCAGUAGGGAAGCUUCCGCAAUGGGCGAAAGCCUGACGGAGCAACGCCGCGUGAGUGAUGAAGGUCUUCGGAUCGUAAAACUCUGUUAUUAGGGAAAAAAAAAUGUGUAAGUAACUAUGCACGUCUUGACGGUACCUAAUCAAAAAGCAACGGCUAACUACGUG